rnacentral:rRNA from 1 species
CCUACGGGAGGCAGCAGUGGGGAAUAUUGCACAAUGGGGGAAACCCUGAUGCAGCGACGCCGCGUGAAGGAAGAAGUAUCUCGGUAUGUAAACUUCUAUCAGCAGGGAAGAAAACAGACGGUACCGGACGAAGAAGCCCCGGCUAACUACGUGCCCGCAGCCGCGGUAAAACGGAGGGGGCAAGCGUUCUCAGGAUGUCCGGGGUGUAAAGGGGGCGCAGACGGCCAGGGCAAGCCCGGUGGGAAAGGCAGGGGCAUACCCCCUGGACUGCACUGGGAACUGUCAGGCUGGAGUGCCGGAGGGGUAACCGGACUUCCUGGUGUAGCGGUGAAAUGCGUAGAUAUCAGGCGGAACCCCGGCGGCGAAGGCGGCUUACUGGACGGCAACUGACGUUGAGGCCCGAAAGCGUGGGGAGCGAACAGGAUUAGAUACCCGAGUAGUC